ACACGGUGAAGCUGAGAAAUAAAAAAAAUUCAAGGUGAUGAGCACACAAAAUUAAAAAGGAAAGUAAGACAAAGAUCGGAUGGAACCAAACAUUCGAUUCUCGGCUGAUAUCUAUUCUAGGUCAACAGAUCGGUCAAAAAUGGAAAGUCUGUUUUAUAUGUGUGUCUAGAGUUUUUGGUCGAUUGCACUUGAGAUCAUUAAGUUUAAGAAGGCUGACUAAGCAGCUGUUGUUGGUCUAUUAAAGCCAACACUUCCUUCCAUCAACAACACACCUAAAAACAUUUUAAGCAAAAUUAUAUAUCUCCAGACGCCAGCAGCGUUAGAAUGAAUCCAACAAGUGAUGGCAGCCGGUAAACUAAUACCAACUUUAAACAAAAACAACAACAAUAAUAAUAACAAAAACAAUAGAACGUAAACUAAUAUUAAGUUUAAUAAAAACAAUAAACGUUCACAACAAUGUUGGUGGCAGGCAGAAAAUAAUUUGUUUAUUGCCAAAAUCGUGGCAUCAACAGCUAUGCUGGAUAAUUGCGCCGUUGGCAUUAAAAGUGUGCGAUGGUUUCAUAAAAUUACCGUUGCUACCGGCUAAUAGCACUUCGUUUGUAAGAACAGCAGCAGCAAUAGCAACAACAACAGCAGUAAUAGCAACAACAACAGCAACAAGGCUAAAUCAAUUGUCUGGUGUGAGAAACGG